GACGAACGCUGGCGGCGUGCCUAAUACAUGCAAGUAGAACGCUGAAGGAGGAGCUUGCUUCUCUGGAUGAGUUGCGAACGGGUGAGUAACGCGUAGGUAACCUGCCUGGUAGCGGGGGAUAACUAUUGGAAACGAUAGCUAAUACCGCAUAAUAGUAGAUGUUGCAUGACAUUUUCUUAAAAGGUGCAAUUUCAUCACUACCAGAUGGACCUGCGUUGUAUUAGCUAGUUGGUGAGGUAACGGCUCACCAAGGCGACGAUACAUAGCCGAGCUGAGAGGGUGAUCGGCCAAACUGGGACGGAGACAAGGCCCAGAAGCCUACGGGAGGCAGCAGUAGGGAAUAUUCGGAAAUGGACGGAAGUCUGACCGAGAAACGACGCGUGAGUGAAGAAGGUUGUCGGAUCGUAAAGCUCUGUUGUAAGAGAAGAACGAGUGUGAGAGUGGAAAGUUCACACUGUGACGGUAGCUUAACAGAAAGGGACGGCUAACUACGUG
rnacentral:rRNA from 1 species